ACUCGAUAUAUUUACAAAUUCUCAUUACAUAAUAAUGCCGACCUUUGCUCCACUGAUCAAUUUCACUGCAAGAAACCCUUUUUGCCUUUAUCAGCAAAUAUCGCUAUAAGCCUAAUUUCGCAACUUUUACAGGCCUUAAAAUAUCCGUCGGUCACGGACAUUGUCCGACCCAUUCGUGAAAUUGUCCGACGUAGAGAAGAAACCACCGGACAUUCUGUCCGACCAAAGUGAAACUGAGGUUUAUUGUUUGUCCGACCCGAGUGUAUUGGUGUCCGACCGAACUGUAGCUUUGUCCAACGUAAAUCAAAAUGUACCCUAGCCCAG